CGCAAUCUCAUUCAGCCACCAAACAUGCCCAUACAGAUUGACUAUUAAGUUUGGAUCCAUUACCUUGUUCCUCAAGCUAUAAAUGGCCCUAAGCUCUAUAAACCAUUUGUUUUAUAUCACCAAACCCAAUUUAUAAUCAUGUUUGAAAUGUCAGCCGCAUCACACAAUUUUCAAGUAAACAGCAGGUGCUUCUCCAAUUAAAGCAUUUCAAAGAAGCACACAACAGUACCAUGUCGGUUGGUUGGCUCUUUGGUAUUUGCUGGGAAUGGUGGUGCAUGGUGGAGGAUUCCGUUGCUUUGAUGGCGGUUGAGGUGCAGCCGGCUUCGGGCUGUUUUGUUUUUUGGGUUUUCUUUCUGGGCCCAAUUGUCUGUUUGAGCUUUGGUUUAUUUUGUGCUUGACUUGUAAUUGUACCUCAUGUUAUUUAUAUUUGUCGUGUUGGUAAUGAAAUUUACCUUUGACGAAAAAAAAAAAGGGGCUUUAAUUGAUCAAAAUAGCCCUCAUAAGGUUAACCCAAA